UACAUUAAGGUUUCAAAAUGCUUAUAUGGAUGGUUUGCGGAUGUUUACAGUGAGAAACACAAAAUGUGUGUUAGCGUAUGAAAGAGAGAGCAAGUGAGCACAGUAGGGAAUUUGGCUUUCUAUCACAUGAUUCAGCAAAGAAUUAAAUGAGGAGAUGGGUAUCAAUUUUCUGGUGCCAAAAGAAGUUAAGGACAAGGCUACUGGGAUUUGCAGCUGGCUGGAGUCAGAAGAAUUACCUUGUCUGGUGUAACUCUGUGAGCUUUUGUGUGUUUGUUUCCCUGGGGGCAGGAGCUAGAACCUAUUGUGAUGUGAUAGUCCUUUGCUUCCUGGAAGCAGCAGAUCUCCCACCCAAUGACCAAUUGCCUCAACAAACCGGAGCAGACGAGUCAGCUACUUCCUCAAAUCUCCUGGGUGAGUGAUCACACCAAUGAGUGGUGUGAUAAAAAAACUUCCAUUACAGUCCCUAGGGACUCAGCUUUAACACAAUUUCAGCAGAGGGAUAGUGGGGCAGCCAGAGAGCAGAAGUGGAAACCAGAGGGAGUAAGGAAUCUGUCUACUUCUGCAAGGAUUAAUGCUACACCAAAAGGGAAACAAAACUCGUCUACAUUAUUCCUGUCUGUAUGGAAUUAACAAUAAUGAAAAGAAAGCACCUCAACCUUUGCCAUGGGGCGUCUGCAGAAUGGUGCAGAUUUUCCACCUUUAGUUGCAAAUGCUGAUGAGUUACUGGAGGCUCUGGAGAGACUCAGAGCUUCAAGGGAAACUUCUGACACCACAAUUAUACUGACAGUAUGGUAUUCUUCUGAACAGUAUUGUUCUAGUCCUUUGGUUUUUCACUACACUUAUAAAUUUAUCCUUUCUGUUCCUAAGAAGUGAGGAAGCACUUCUCUUUCCUUUUUUUUUUUUUUUUUUUUUUUUCAAAUGACAAUGGAAAUACAGGGAAAUGUAAAGACUUUACCAAUGCCAAAACCCAGAAAUAUGUGAUAGUUUAGGAUCUGCUAGUUUAGGUCUUCAAAAUGCUAAGAUGCGCCACUGACCAACUUUCUUCUGCAACAGUUACAAAAGUUGUAUUGCUUUAACUAGUACAACAUGCAGAAGUGUAAAGAAACAUACACCAUAUAAAGUGUAAGGGGGAAUACAUCAUAUUCUUUAAAUACUUGAGUUUGUGUAAUUACAUUGAUAACAAACAUAUCCAGGGCAUAAUAUGUAGUCAUUAUGCAUUAUAUCGUCAGGAAGUAGGAAUCAAAGUGAUCAUUUAAUUUGUUUGUUCAAGUCAUUUUUCACACUUGGAUUAUAAAUAUCCAUCACUCCAAUACUAAAAGACAAGACAUUAAAGUGAUUAUUUUGCUCUUAACCUCAGGUGAAGCAAUAUCAAUUCAGUCCACUGAAAAUUUAUCUGCUUUCACUGUAGCCAUUGUAAGCAUUUAGGCAUUUCUUUAUCUAUUAUUUCCCAUUUUCCAGUGAGAAGAUACAAAUAGAAUAAGACUCACUGAAAACCUCUCUUCCUCAACCUUUAUGGAAAAAGAACCUCAAUCACAUAACCCAUGUCAAUCCAUAAUCUCAAGGAAUUUGGAAUCAUGCCUAGUGUUAUUCCAAAUAUCUUUAAAUUUGAAGCAAACUCAGAAAUAGUAGUGUAAACCAGAUAUAGACCUUUUCUGACAAAAACAGCUAUUACCAUUCUAGAAUACUGCUUAAUAAUAUACGGUUGCAAGUAUGGACUGGUCUUGUGUCAAAGAUCCCUGAAGAAAUACAGUCAGUGCUCCAGAUUCCUGUCUUUCUUUUCGUACAAAAUAAUUAUCCUCUUGCAGCUGCUGGGACUUGCCCUUCUAGAUUUUUUUCAGUACUGUGUCGCAGUUGCAGUAAAUGACAGCAUGACGAUUUCAGCACAUUUCAAAGACCAUGCAGUCAACAAAGAUAUCCCUCUCUGAAGGCAUGUUGUGCUUUGUUCAUUAGUUAUACCCACAGAUGUUAUAAUGUCAGAUUUGCGUUGAUCAGUGACAAAAUUUUUCUUUCAUUCUCUUGGAAAUUCAAUUCCCCUGUAAAAUCUGAAAUUGGAUACUACAUGACGCACUCAACACAAUGUCUGAGGCCUUUUAGGUUUUCUGGCUCAUGCUCUUCCUCACAGAGUUGAGGAGAGGUAUCAGCAUGGGAGCCCUCUGGCUUUGUGACGCUAUCAGAACCACACGCAAUUCUCUGGCAAAUCAAGACAGCGAAGUUAGUUUCCAGCAGCUGCCCUCAGAGCAAAUUUAGUUUUUACUUCCCAUACCUCUUACAGAGGCAGUUGUCGGGUAUUCCCUUGCUCUUAGAAUAACCUCAGCUCUGUACAUGAUUUGGAAAACCUUGGGAUGAAAUAGAAUAUCCUAUAUUAUAUUGGAUACUAAGGUCCUUAAUUUAUUAGACACUGAUGCAUAAAAUUAGCAGGAGAAAUACUUUAAAAUACAAGAGAUAUCACCUCUGAGAAAGUCCCACUAGCUAGUCCCAGCUUUAGUCUAACCCCUUAGAGUCAUUUUACAUUCCUAGCAGUUUCCCUAUAAAGUAUAACUUCUUAUUCUCGCACAUGUGCAUACUAAAUGACAUAGAUAAGAAUAUUUCUAUUGGAAACAAGAUCAUGUUCUGUUCACUCUUCCUAAAGAAUAAUUUGCAUUAAGGACAAACUCCCCAGUUUCAGACCAAGUUGUUAUAAAAAUGCCAAACCAAAUAACAAACCAACUCGUGAAGACUUUCAUCUGUAGGCAAUUUUUUUUUCUUCUUCUCUCUCUCUCUCUCUUUUUUUUUUUUUCCUUCAUUUUUUUUUCUUCUAAUGGUUAAUAACAUCUGCAUGUAUAUAACUUCCUUAGAGCUACAGUAUUACGCACUCAACAGUAUUUUAGCUGUAGAUUGUAAUUGGCAUGAUAAAGGAUCAUAAGUGUAUCUUUUCUGUCAGCUUGUGCCAUUAAGAACCUCUAACCAUGGAUCACUGAUGUAACAGAUCAUUGCGGUCCAUUGUGUCAGUUCAUUUGUUGGGAUCUGUGCACUAUAAGCAUGACAGAAUUCCUCUGCAGCAAUUAUAGUCUAUUGUGACAAUAGGAUUUAAUGAAUAUAAACAACAAACCACAUAAUCUGUUAUUACAGAACACAGCUAUGCACCCAGAUGGGAAUUACAUUCCUAGACAUUACCAGUUGCAGUUUUUAUAAUUGUGACUAUUUCAGUCAUUGUGUUUUUAACUGUAAUACUCUAAUUUACCACAUAUAUUUAUCUCAGCCCUGGCAGGUGAAAGGUCUUCAGAAUUUAAAGUCUAAUCCUGCAAAUGUUCCAUGAUUUUAUUUUUUUCUGAGUAAAAAAUUAUCUUUUAGUUUUUUAGACACUUGCUGCUGACUUUUGCUGUGAUACUAAUGGUGCUAUUAAUGCUUCGGUGCCACCAUUGUAGAUGAAACAAGCAAAUACACUAAAAUUGGUCACAGAAAUUAAUGACGCAUAGCAGAACACAGAAUCAUAGAAUCGUAGAAUAUCCUGAGUUGGAAGGGACCCAUAAGGAUCAUCAAGUCCAACAUUCCGGUAUUGUUUCCAAAGAAUAAACACUUCUGCUCAAUAUUAAUUUUUACAAAUGAUGGGCAAAGUGCUAUACCAGCGCAAAUCCAUAAAAUCAUGAUGAUGGGAAUUUUGCUGAUUGAUGCAGCUGAAGGCCUGACCUAGAGAAUUUGAUAUACAUUUGUGAAAUUAAUACUCUUUUUAAAAGCACAUAAAUGCUCCAUUAUAUUAAAGCUGUGCAGUCUACAAAAGUUCACAUUAUCCCCAGGGUGAUUUCAAAAAUCUGGCUCUAUUACAGAGAUUUUCAGCUUUUUAGUAUGAGUUCUGGGCUUGAGUAUAUCAGAGGUCACAAUUAUAGUGUGGUAUUGCUGUAUUUUCAUCUACGUAGAUGGGCACUACUGGAGUAUAUAUAUACUUUAAGUAAUAGAAAAUUGUCUGUAAAGAAUAAAUUAAUGAGGACUACAUGUGAAUUAGCUAUAUAAAUGCCACAACACUUAUCAUGUACUUUUGAGGGGAAAUCUCCAAGUAAACAUAUUUCCACACACUUAUUAUCAAGAGGA